rnacentral:rRNA from 1 species
CGGCGGCAGGCCCAACACGUUAAAGUCGAACGGUAACAGGACGCAGCUUGCUGCUUUGCUGACGAGUGGCGGACGGGUGAGUAAUGUCUGGGAAACUGCCUGAUGGAGGGGGAUAACUACUGGAAACGGUAGCUAAUACCUGCAUAACGUCGCAAGACCAAAGAGGGGGACCUUCGGGCCUCUUGCCAUCGGAUGUGCCCAGAUGGGAUUAGCUAGUAGGUGGGGUAACGGCUCACCUAGGCGACGAUCCCUAGCUGGUCUGAGAGGAUGACCAGCCACACUGGAACUGAGACACGGUCCAGACUCCUACGGGAGGCAGCAGUGGGGAAUAUUGCACAAUGGGCGCAAGCCUGAUGCAGCCAUGCCGC